UAAAUUCCUCUUAUCGGCCUUAAUUCAAUCAACUCCUUCCCUUAUACCCGCAGCUAGCACACCAUUUCCUAGUGCUCUACCCCGAAUCAAAACUCCUCCCCCUUUACUCUAUUCCGGCGGCGGAGAUGUGACCAAUCGCUGAACGGGGGGCGGUUUGAUUCCUUUCCAUUGGUUCCAAACUUGUCCGGCAGCUUCUCCGUGCUGUCAUCGGCGCCGACGUCGUGCGUGAGAUCGCUGCCUUUACUGACCAAGAGGACGCUUAAACGAUGGCCGUCCAGUGGACGCGUGCAAACGUCUCGUUGAACUACUCGGGAAGAUGUAGCUGAUGUAACGCACGCAAGUCUGUCAACUGGGAAUUUUAUUUUUUAAUUCAUUUGGUUUUUCGGUAAUGUUGGCACAUGAUGUGGAAUGGAAAACAAGAAUUUGACAUUGAAGUAAAGAAUUGAAUUGAGUGAAAUGAAAGUCACCAUCCUGCCACUUCACACGGAUUUAGCUGAAUUGAGAAUAAGAAAAAGCAGUAUGAAAAGCACAAUUAAUAAGGUGUGUGCACUUUUCCCCAAAAUGUCUUUUAUCGUUUUGUCUAAACACCAUUUGAAACAAUACAAAAUUCGACGUUUU